rnacentral:rRNA from 1 species
CAGUCGCCGCGGUAAUACGGAGGGUGCAAGCGUUAAUCGGAAUUACUGGGCGUAAAGCGCACGCAGGCGGUCUGACAAGUCAGAUGUGAAAUCCCCGGGCUUAACCUGGGAACUGCAUUUGAAACUGUCAGGCUGGAGUCUUGUAGAGGGGGGUAGAAUUCCAGGUGUAGCGGUGAAAUGCGUAGAGAUCUGGAGGAAUACCGAUGGCGAAGGCAGCCAUCUGGCCUAAUACUGACGCUGAGGUACGAAAGCAUGGGGAGCAAACAGGAUUAGAUACCCCUGUAGUCCCUGUCUCUUAUAC